CAGCAGCCGCGGGAAUACGAAGGGUGCAAGCGUUAAUCGGAAUUACUGGGCGUAAAGCGUGCGUAGGCGGUUUGUUAAGUCUGCUGUGAAAUCCGGGCUCAACCUGGGAAUGGCAGUGGAUACUGGCAAGCUAGAGUGUGUCAGAGGAUGGUGGAAUUCCCGGUGUAGCGGUGAAAUGCGUAGAGAUCGGGAGGAACAUCAGUGGCGAAGGCGGCCAUCUGGGACAACACUGACGCUGAGGCACGAAAGCGUGGGGAGCAAACAGGAUUAGAUACCCCUGUAGUCCCUGUCUCUUAUACAC
rnacentral:rRNA from 1 species